AAUCAACGCUGGCGGCGUGCCUAACACAUGCAAGUCGCACGAGAAAGGGACUUCGGUCCUGAGUACAGUGGCGCACGGGUGAGUAACACGUGAAUCAUCUACCUUCGAGUGGGGAAUAACUGAGAGAAAUCUUAGCUAAUACCGCAUAAUACCUACGGGUCGAAAGACAGCAAUGCGCUUGAAGAGGAGUUCGCGGCAGAUUAGUUAGUUGGCAGGUAAUGGCCUACCAAGACGAUGAUCUGUAUCCGGCCUGAGAGGGCGCACGGACACACUGGAACUGAAACACGGUCC
rnacentral:rRNA from 1 species